UGGGGAAUAUUGCACAAUGGGCGCAAGCCUGAUGCAGCGACGCCGCGUGAGGGAUGACUGCCUUCGGGUUGUAAACCUCUUUCAGCAGGGACGAAGCGAAAGUGACGGUACCUGCAGAAGAAGCACCGGCCAACUACGUGCCAGCAGCCGCGGUAAUACGUAGGGUGCAAGCGUUGUCCGGAAUUAUUGGGCGUAAAGAGCUCGUAGGCGGUUAGUCACGUCGGCUGUGAAAACCUGGGGCUCAACUCCGGGCCUGCAGCCGAUACGGGCAGACUAGAGUUCGGCAGGGGAGACUGGAAUUCCUGGUGUAGCGGUGAAAUGCGCAGAUAUCAGGAGGAACACCGGUGGCGAAGGCGGGUCUCUGGGCCGAAACUGACGCUGAGGAGCGAAAGCGUGGGGAGCAAACA
rnacentral:rRNA from 1 species